rnacentral:rRNA from 1 species
GACGAACGCUGGCGGCGUGCCUAAUACAUGCAAGUCGAACGCACUCUCGUUUAGAUUGAAGGAGCUUGCUCCUGAUUGAUAAACAUUUGAGUGAGUGGCGGACGGGUGAGUAACACGUGGGUAACCUGCCCCAAAGUGGGGGAUAACAUUUGGAAACAGAUGCUAAUAUCGCAUAAAACCUAAACACCGCAUGGUGUAGGGUUGAAAGAUGGUUUCGGCUAUCACUUUAGGAUGGACCCGCGGUGCAUUAGUUAGUUGGUGAGGUAAAGGCUCACCAAGACCGUGAUGCAUAGCCGACCUGAGGGGGUAAUCGGCCACACUGGGACUGAGACACGGCCCAGACUCCUACGGGAGGCAGCAGUAGGGAAUCUUCCACAAUGGACGAAAGUCUGAUGGAGCAACGCCGCGUGAGUGAAGAAGGUUUUCGGAUCGUAAAACUCUGUUGUUGGAGAAGAAUGUAUCUGAUAGUAACUGAUCAGGUAGUGACGGUAUCCAACCAGAAAGCCACGG